rnacentral:rRNA from 1 species
CCCUUAGAUGUUCUGGGCCGCACGCGCGCUACACUGUUCGACGCAGCGAGUCUUAACCUUGACCGAAAGGUUUGGGUAAUCUUCAGCAAAGUCGAACGUGAUGGGGAUCGGUCAUUGCAAUUAUUGAUCGUGAACGAGGAAUUCCUAGUAAGUGCAAGUCAUCAGCUUGCGCUGAUUACGUCCCUGCCCUUUGUACACACCGCCCGUCGCUACUACCGAUUGAAUGGUUUAGUGAGAUCUCUGGAUUGACGCUGGCUAGGGGGCGACCCUUGGCCAGACUGUUGAGAAACUGCUCAAACUUGAUCAUUUAGAGGAAGUAAAAGUCGUAACA